rnacentral:tRNA from 1 species
GACCUAGUGGCGGAAUUGGUAGACGCGCCCGACUCGAAAUCGGGAGACCUACGGGUCAUAUGGGUUCGAGUCCCAUCUUAGGUCACCA